rnacentral:rRNA from 1 species
UACGGGGGGGGCAAGCGUUGUUCGGAAUGACUGGGCGUAAAGGGCUCGUAGGUGGCCAACUGAGUCGGACGUGAAAUCCCUCGGCUUAACCGGGGAACUGCAUCCGAUACUGGAUGGCUUGAGUUCGGGAGAGGGAUGCGGAAUUCCAGGUGUAGCGGUGAAAUGCGUAGAUAUCUGGAGGAACACCGGUGGCGAAGGCGGCAUCCUGGACCGACACUGACGCUGAGGAGCGAAAGCCAGGGGAGCAAACGGG